AUUGAACGCUGGCGGCAGGCCUAACACAUGCAAGUCGAACGAGUGGCGGACGGGUGAGUAAUGUCUGGGAAACUGCCCGAUGGAGGGGGAUAACUACUGGAAACGGUAGCUAAUCCCGCAUACCAUCGGAUGUGCCCAGAUGGGAUUAGCUGGUCGGGGGGGUAACGGCUCACCUAGGCGACGAUCCCUAGCUGGUCUGAGAGGAUGACAAGCCACACGGGAACUGAGCAACGGCCCAGACUCCUACGGGAGGCAGCAGUGGGGAAUAUUGGACAAUGGGCGAAAGCCUGAUGCAGCCAGGCCGCGUGUAUGAAGAAGGCCUUCGGGUUGUAAAGUACUUUCAGCGGGGAGGCGUUACUCGCAGAAGAAGCACCGGCUAACUACGUGCCAGCAGCCGCGGUAAUAC
rnacentral:rRNA from 1 species